rnacentral:rRNA from 1 species
UGAGGAAUAUUGCACAAUGGGGGCAACCCUGAUGCAGCGACGCCGCGUGGGUGAUGAAGGUUUUCGGAUCGUAAAGCCCUUUUCUGCAUGACGAGCACAGGACGGUAGUGCAGGAAUAAGUGUCGGCUAACUACGUGCCAGCAGCCGCGGUAAAACGUAGGACACAAGCGUUAUCCGGAAUUACUGGGCGUAAAGGGCGUGCAGGCGGUUGCGUAAGUUAGGCGUGAAAGACUUCGGCUAAACCGGGGGAGGUCGUCUGAUACUGCGCAACUAGAGUAUGGUAGAGGCGUGUAGAAUUCCGGGUGUAGUGGUGAAAUGCGUAGAGAUCCGGAGGAAUACCAGUGGCGAAGGCGGCACGCUGGGCCAUAACUGACGCUAAGACGCGAAAGCAUGGGUAGCGAACGGGAUUAGAUACCCCCGUAGUCCCUGAGCGGGCUGGCAAGGCGCAU